UGUGGAGUGGAAUUGUGGUUUGAGUGUUAUACUGCAACUCUGGAGACCAGGGUUCGAUUCCCCGCUCAGCCA